UACAGAGGGUGCAAGCGUUGCUCGGAUUUACUGGGCGUAAAGCGUACGCAGACGGCCACGCAGGUCGGGUGUGAAAGCCCCGGGCUCAACCCGGGAAUUGCAUUCGAAACCAUGUGGCUCGAGUGUGGGAGAGGGUAGUGGAAUUCCUGGUGUAGAGGUGAAAUUCGUAGAUAUUGGGAAGAACACCGGUGGCGAAGGCGACCAUCUGGACGACAACUGACGCUGAGGCGCGAAAGCGUGGGGAGCAAACAGG
rnacentral:rRNA from 1 species